CUCAAUGUUCACCUCCGUGCUACUGAUGGUGAUCCUCUCCCUGACCCGACGCGUUAUCGUCAUCUCGUUGGCAGUCUAGUCUAUCUAGCUGUCACUCGUCCGGACAUCUCUUAUCCGGUUCAUAUUCUGAGUCAGUUUGUCUCUGCUCCCACAUCGGUUCAUUAUAGUCAUCUCCUUCGUGUUCUCCGAUAUCUUCGGGGCACGAUCUCUCACCGUCUCUUCUUUCCUAGCUCCAGUUCUUUACAGCUUCAGGCCUAUGCGGAUGUUACGUGGGCUAGUGAUCCUUCUGAUCGCCGUUCGCUUUCUGCUUACUGUGUUUUUCUUGGCGGUUCUCUCAUUGCCUGGAAGACGAAGAAACAGAUUGCAGUUUCCCGUUCGAGUGCUGAGGCUGAGUUGCGAGCUAUGGCUCUUUUGACGGCAGAGGUGACUUGGUUACGGUGGUUACUUCAGGAUUUUGGUGUUUCUGUCACUACCCCGACUAUGCUCUUAUCUGACAGUACAGGUGCUAUUAGCAUUGCGCGCGAUCCUGUGAAGCAUGAGCUCACCAAGCAUAUUGGUGUUGAUGCUUUCUAUGUGCGCGCUGCUGUGCAGGAUCAGGUCAUUGCUCUUCAGUAUGUGCCUUCCGAGUUACAGUUGGCGGAUUUCCUGACGAAGGCCCAG
rnacentral:rRNA from 1 species